CCAAUCUGUUGCCUCGGCGGGAUUCUCUGCCCCGGGCGCGUCGCAGCCCCGGAUCCCAUGGCGCCCGCCGGAGGACCAACUCAAACUCUUUUUUCUCUCCGUCGCGGCCUACGUCGCGGCUCUGUUUUAUUUUUGCUCUGAGCCUUUCUCGGCGACCCUAGCGGGCGUCUCGAAAAUGAAUCAAAACUUUCAACAACGGAUCUCUUGGUUCUGGCAUCGAUGAAGAACGCAGCGAAAUGCGAUAAGUAAUGUGAAUUGCAGAAUUCAGUGAAUCAUCGAAUCUUUGAACGCACAUUGCGCCCGCCAGUAUUCUGGCGGGCAUGCCUGUCCGAGCGUCAUUUCAACCCUCGAACCCCUCCGGGGGGUCGGCGUUGGGGAUCGGCCCCUCACCGGGCCGCCCCCGAAAUACAGUGGCGGUCUCGCCGCAGCCUCUCCUGCGCAGUAGUUUGCACACUCGCACCGGGAGCGCGGCGCGGCCACAGCCGUAAAACACCCCAAACUCUGAAAUGUUGACCUCGGAUCAGGUAGGAAUACCCGCUGAACUUAAGCAUAUCAAUAAGCCGGAGGAA
rnacentral:rRNA from 2 species